rnacentral:rRNA from 1 species
UCAAAUCGGGUGAGACUACCCGCUGAACUUAAGCAU